UGCAUGUCUUAGCUUACUUGUCAUACAUUUACAUGCCUGGUAUUUACGUACUUACCAUGAGGGGCAAAUCUAAGUAUCCAGUUAACUGCAAGUUUAAGUUUUGGUAGGAUUAUGAAGGAUCUCUAGAAAGAAGAGAACUUCUAUAUACAACCGCCGGUGAGGAACCGGCGCGGAAUCGGAUGACGUGGCAGUGUCACGUCAGUUGAUAUUUUAUUAAAAAAAUUAUUAAAAAAAAAAAACAUCGAUUGAAAUAUGCAGAAAAAUGGGAGGGAAACUUAAACCAAGCCCCUCGAUGAGUUGCUCGAGCUGAACCCAGAGAGUCUCACUCUCUGAACGAUCCCGUCUGUGGUCGCCGCCGUGGACUGAACUGGUUGUUGCGCUCGCCGUUCGUCACACAUUCCAGAUUUGAGCCGCCGUCUACGUGGGUUGGACUCGAUUUCCAGAUCCGAGUAGUCGCGUCUCUGCUUCUUCCACUACCACGGUUCUUGAGUAUUUCUUUCUCUUCUUUUGGACUUGAUUUUCUGCUGUUCUUCACACAUUCUCUUCUUUGGAAGUUUCUUAUUCUUAUUCUGCUUGCAAAACGAAUUGAAAAGGCGAAAUGCGACGUCUUUUUGGCAAAUAUCAGAGCUGGAAAGCAUUAUUUUUGUCUAAUCAUGUUCUCUAUUAGUUUUUCCUUUACAUCCUGUUUUUUAGACCACAUCUAGUCAUCUUCUAGCAGUUUCCCAUCACCUUUUAGGGUUUCGGUUCCACAUAACCAUCAGAAAGAUGCUAGUAGUUUCAUCCCAGCUGGAGAACACCUUCUAAAAAAUUAUAGAACUCAUUCAUUUUAGAUUGAAGUGACUUAGAAGAUGAUGAUGGUGAUCAUGAUGAGUAGAUUUUAGCGGUGCAUGUUUUUUACAGGUUGAGAGAUCAGGUGGCCAUUCGGGGAGACCUUUUUGGCUCCCUUUCAAAGGACACACAUCUAUCUGGGUGACUCUUUAUUAAGCACUAGGAUUACAUUUGCUGGCUCUCUCUCAUUUGCUUAUGUUUUCUUGGCGGCUGAACCAUUUGCUUGUGUGGACUAAUGGAAGCUGAGUCUUCUGGCUUCUUGUUGUGUUAUUGGAUUUUUCAGGUUUAUUUAUUUAAUUUUUUAAUUUUCUGUGCGUGUGGUAUUAUUUUGAUUUAUAAUACAAUAGUCUGAAUAUUAGGCAUUGAGGGCGAUGUUAGGAGAAUCCGUUCAAAGAAUUUACCUUUUUGGAAAAAUGCUUGCAGAAAAGAGAGAAUAUUAGGCAUAAUCAUAAUUGCCUUGGACUCUAUUUAUUUAAAUUUUGAGUAUGAGACACAUAAAGUGACCAACUUGUUUGUUCAUUUGCUUUUUUGGUCAAUGAUAAGAAUCGAUCGGUUGGCCAGCUAGUGACAAUACCACCUCGAGUGGUUUGUUGCUAUGCUUAGCGGACCUGAUUAGGAUAUUAUAUAUUUUUAUGUUUAAAUCACAAUUCGGCCUCAAAAGUGCAUUUUGAAUGACCAGGCUCUAUGUUUGGCAAGCUGGAAAAAGCGAAUAUUGUAUGAUCUGGAACAAAACUAUAAUUUAAACUAUAAUAUUGUAAGUUCCAUGAAAAAAGUACGCACUUGAGGUAUGUGACUAUUACUUGUAAGGAGAAAUAUCUAAAUGUUCAAUCUGGAUCUGAUAGUAUUUUCCAAGUAAUGGUCCUUCCAAGUUUCAUGUAGCCAUAUAUGUAUGCUAUUGAUUGGAGGAGGAUUGAACUUAAAAUAAUUAAAAGUUUUGGAAAUAUUCAAUUUGUCGAAAAUAUUUAUAUCACUUGGAACAACAGUCUAAUUUGGCUUUGGCUUGACAGGAAUUAUGGAAACUGAUGCUAUCACUCUGGGAGUUACAAGCAGUUUUGAAGACUUGUAUAGCUGGGAGUUACAAGCAGUUGAGGAUCAAAAUAUGUAUUAAAACUUUCAAGAAUUAUGGCUAUGUAUAUGACCUAUAUUAUGAUGUAUGUAGAAUUAUGGCAGUCUCAGAAUUUAUGUCUUUAGGUUCAUAUAGGGUGAAGAAACCACUCCAGAACACUGUAAAUGAUUACAUGGGGAAUUACUUGGCUUUGAAGUAUGUGACUAUACAGGAUGUAAUGGUUAUGUCCAUUUUUCUGCCA